GGUAAACGCUGGCGGCGCACAUAAGACAUGCAAGUCGAACGGACUUAACCAUUAGUUUACUAUUGGAGCGGUUAGUGGCGGACUGGUGAGUAACACGUAAGCAACCUGCCUAUCAGAGGGGAACAACAGUUAGAGAUGACUGCUAAUACCGCAUAUGCCUAAGAACCACAUGGUUCAAUAGGGAAAGGAGAAAUCCGCUGAUAGAUGGGCUUGCGUCUGAUUAGAUAGUUGGUGGGGUAACGGCCUACCAAGUCGACGAUCAGUAGCCGGACUGAGAGGUUGAACGGCCACAUUGGGACUGAGAUACGGCCCAG
rnacentral:rRNA from 1 species